CGCCACAUCCAGCGCGGCCCCGCCCUGGGAACGCGUUCCCGGCUGGCCCCGCCCCCCUCGGCGCGCGCGAGGCGGAAGUGAGAGGGAAGCGAGGCGGAAGUGAGGCGGCGUUGCGUCGCUUUAAUGGCCGCCUGUCGCGGCGAGGACGCUCUGAGGGCGGCCACGCGCCGGGCCGCACAACGAACCACAGACACUGGUGCCUACACGCAGCUCUGCUCGCUCCUCCGGCUCUCUCCGCUCAGUGCAACCACGCCUGUGCGCUGCCGUGGUUGCCUCGGUGGAAGUCGUCCAGGAUUUGCCGUGUUUGGCAAAGUUUUUCUGGCGAACGGCCUUUCUGCUGAACAGCUCGUGAGCCUCCGAAUGCGCUGAGCGGGCCUCUCGGGUGUAAGGUUUAGACUCUUCCCCUCUGCAGCAUCACUCGGGAUAUCUCAGGGGAACAGCUACUUGCUGUGGUCGUCCUGGAACUCAGCUGGUGGCGCUCGAUUCAGACUUUUCCCAGCUUAUCCAUUCACAGAGGCUUCUUCCCAACAGUAUCUCCCGUUGUCAUGCCACGUGGGAUUUUCUUUUUUUUUUGUAUUUGCCGUUUGUAGACUUUCUGGGAAGAGAGGUCACCCUGGAUCUACAGCUCUCCUGCAGAAUUUGUGCUGAGGCAACUUCAUGAAACAGAGUAGAAAUAAGACAGGACAAUGAAAGCUAAUGAAAUAUGAAGAUUUUCACCAUCCUUCAACCUGGAAGGAAACACAAUCUAGGAUGUGGUAGUGACCUCUUUAUUACUGACCUGUUGUCAGCCGCAAAUAAAAGUUUUUGCAACCUUAA